AUCCAUCAUUCGUCUAAUGCAGUCGUUAUAUCGAGCUGCUGAACUUUAUGAAAGCUUUGGUGUCGGUGUUAGGGGUAGUUUCAAGGUCAGGAGGGUGGAGUGGAGGUCAUCGUGGCACCUAUGUUGUGCGGUGAACUCUUGAACGGUGGCUUCGUCAGUGCCGGAGCAUUACCGGCCCUUCCUAGUGGUCUUUUAGGGCUUUGGUUGCCUGGCUGUCUACGAGCUACCAGCCCUCGUCUCCAAACCUCCCCUUACCUACCCCUUCUUGCCGAGCUCUUGGCUACGGGUCAGUUGGAUCUUCGUGAUUGCCUGAUGGACCUGGCAAAGAGAAAUCUUCAAACACGCGGCACCAAUGGUGUCGCAGACCUCGACCUCGAUCUUCAUGCCGACGAUAUCGAUGAGAAUGUCUUCCUUGAAAAUGGAUUGCUUUCCUUCGAGAAUCCGAAUUAUCAUUUGGAUCCGGCACGUUUGGAUGAUGCAUUGAACAGCAACGGAAAUGGCAGCUCCCUCUAUGACGAAUUGUAUCAAGAAUUAGUUGGCAAUGGCGGCAGGGGUGGAGAAGUCACUGGUGGCGGCGGUGGUGGUGGUGGAGGUGGUGGUGGUGGUGGUGGUGGCGGAGGAGGGGGUGGUACGAGAGUUCAAGCACGCAGGACUUAUGCGAGCUUAGAUCUGGGCAGCAUGGGGGUUGACGUCACCCAGGGUCCCCUCACCCUGGAUUCCGUGACCGAGGACGCAGCUGACAAUACGGACAACCAUAACCUAGGGUACAGCAGCGAGGGUGUGACGGAGUCAGCUUUGGUCGACGACACCCUCAACGGGAAUCCUCGACCAUCGUCCCCGUCGUCCUCGCCGCCUUCCACGUCUACGUCAUCAUCGAUCCUACCACCUAGAUCUUCUUUGCUCCAGCAAACAGGAUCUACCGUCAACGCUGCGGAUAAAUCCGCUACGAGAAUUUAUUGCGAGAAAGCCGAUAACGAAACAACAGAGAUGGGUGGUGUACCACAUGUCGAGGGUGGCUUGAACAGCGAGCUCUAUGCUGUACCUGUUAAACGGAGACAGCCAAAGGAUCAAAAAAACAAUUCCGCAUUGCAGAAUAAUGUUCAAGACAAGGCACCGAACGAAGUUGACACGAACGAUUCCGAGGACAAGGAUGAAAACUUGCCACCCGGUUGGCAAAAGCACGAAGACGAAAACGGUCCUUACUACUGGCACGUUAAAAGUGGAAACAUUCAAAGGGAACCGCCUGAAGCACCGUUGCAUAACAAAACUGAGAAUCGUAGAAGCUUGGUCAAGGACAACGACAGCAUAAAUAAUUUUCAUGGUCUUGGUGGUAUGGUUAACACCGUAACACGUAGCAACACAAGCUCGGCUCUUGAUCAGGAAUUGGAGAACAAAAGGAAGGUCGAACUAGCACUUAAACGAAGAAGCUAUCCAGCCAGAGCUGAUUCUGAAGGUAGGGACAAGCCGAUUAGAUUCGCUGUACGAUCGUUAGGCUGGACCGAAAUCGCUGAGGAGGAUCUAACACCUGAAAGAUCUAGCAAAGCGGUUAACAAAUGCAUCGUUGAUCUAUCACUCGGUAGAAACGAUCUACUCGACGUCGUUGGACGAUGGGGUGAUGGAAAGGAUUUGUUCAUGGACCUAGACGAGGGAGCCCUAAAACUAAUAGAUCCAGAAAAUCUGACGGUACUGAACACUCAGCCAAUUCACACGGUCAGAGUUUGGGGUGUUGGAAGAGAUCACUGCCGUGAGAGGGACUUUGCUUAUGUAGCAAGAGACAGGUCAACUCGAAAGCAUAUGUGUCACGUGUUCCGUUGCGACAUCCCAGCACGUACGAUCGCAAAUACUCUUCGUGACAUAUGUAAGAAGAUCAUGAUCGAACGAUCACAACAUCAGAAUCUAGCUAAGCCUGUUGAUAUCAAUGGUCGAACGAGCCUGGCGACGAGACCGACGAAUUUACCAACUGAACAUCGACGUUUUCACAGAAAUGGACAGGCCCUAGUCACACAAUCAUUUCCAACGCCAAUGGAAGAACCAAAGAAAGUAUUAAAGGCACAAUAUCUUGGCUCGAUGCAGGUCACUUCGGCAACUGGUAUGGAAGUGUUAAAUGAUGCGAUAGAUCAUAUCGUAUCAAACACACCAUUGAAUCAAUGGAGAAACGUUAACGUUGCAGUAGCACCUAGCAUGAUCUCUAUACUCACACCAAACGACGACAAGUUGAUCACCGAAUGUCGAGUUCGUUACUUGUCCUUCCUUGGUAUUGGUCGUAACGUUAAACAAUGCGCUUUCAUCAUGCAUACAGCCCAAGAUCUUUUCAUCGCACAUGUCUUCAACUGUGAGCCUAGCAGUGGUGCUCUCUGCAAAACGAUCGAAGCAGCAUGCAAGCUGAGGUAUCAGAAAUGUUUGGACGCACAUCCCCAAGGAUUCAGAAACGCAACUAGCCUGAACACACCGAGUGGUAGGGGAUUAGGAGCGACCUUGAAAUCGCUCGUUGGUUCUCUCACUGGUCGUAGAAAUAAACAAGGCGAAUCCUGAGACGAGGCUCUCUCGCUGCAGGUAAAUUGCUCGGGCCGACACUGCUCGAGGAGACCACGGGCUCCAUCCUAACUCGUAAGGAACUCUGGCCACUGCCUGCUGAGCGAGAGGUGAUCAGACACAGACACCUGCAAUCACCUUUGACCUUGAAAUAUUUCGGAGGUUCACCCCCAAGCGCAUCAUUGAGGUCCCUCCUAUCCCCGUCUUUAGACAGCAGACGUAUCCAAUUAGCUCGUUGGGAAAGUAAUCCCUAAAGGAAAGAGAGAAAAGAAAAACAAGGAAAGAAAAUGAACAGAAAAAAAAAAACAAGAAAACCAUAAACCCCACACGUAAACAGAAUACAUACAUACGUACAUACAUACAUACAUACAUAUAUACAUAUAUAUAUAUACACUCAUACACAUACACACACACACACACACGAAUACACUAUUAAUCGCAAAAGACGAUUAAUGAUUUGUCGAACGAGUUAAUUUUUCAUGUAAUAAUCUCUUUAAAAAUUGAUAUAAAAACGACUGAAUCAAUCGUGAA